rnacentral:rRNA from 1 species
GUGGGGAAUAUUGGACAAUGGGCGCAAGCCUGAUCCAGCCAUGCCGCGUGAGUGAUGAAGGCCUUAGGGUUGUAAAGCUCUUUCAGUGGGGACGAUAAUGACGGUACCCACAGAAGAAGCCCCGGCUAACUUCGUGCCAGCAGCCGCGGUAAUACGAAGGGGGCUAGCGUUGUUCGGAUUUACUGGGCGUAAAGCGCACGUAGGCGGAUCGUUAAGUCGGGGGUGAAAUCCUGGAGCUCAACUCCAGAACUGCCUUCGAUACUGGCGAUCUUGAGUCCGGAAGAGGUGAGUGGAACUCCUAGUGUAGAGGUGGAAUUCGUAGAUAUUAGGAAGAACACCAGUGGCGAAGGCGGCUCACUGGUCCGGUACUGACGCCGAGGUGCGAAAGCGUGGGGAGCAAACAGGAUUAGAUACCCCAGUAGUCC